GACGAACGCUGGCGGCGCGCUUAACACAUGCAAGUCGAACGGAAAGGCCCGGCUUUUGUUGGGGACUGGAGGUGCGAGAGUGUGGGUAACAUGUGAAUAACCUGCCCUUUAUUUUGGGAUAACUUGUGUAAGCUUGGGCUACUACGUGAAAUUACCGCCAGCACCGUGGGGGGGGGUGUAAGGUGUCGGCGGUUGGGCAUGGACUUGCGGCUGAGCAGGUUGUUGGUGGGGUUGUGGGUUAGGAAGGCUUUGACGGGUAGCGGGCCUGAGAGGGUGACCGGCCACAUUGGGACUGAGAUACGGGCCAGACUCCUACGGGAGGCAGCAGUGGGGAAUAUUGCACAAUGGGCGGAAGCCUGAUGCAGCAACGCCGCGUGCGGGAUGACGGCCUUCGGGUUGUCAACCGCUUUCGCCUGUGACGAAGCGGGAGUGACGGUAAUGGGUAAAGAAGCACCGGCUAACUACGUG
rnacentral:rRNA from 1 species